AGCAGCCGCGGUAAUUCCAGCUCCAAUAGCGUAUAUUAAAGUUGUUGCAGUUAAAAAGCUCGUAGUUGAAUUUCGGGGUUAGUAGGUUGGUCAUGCCUCUGGUAUGUACUGGUCUCACUGAUUCCUCCUUCCUGAUGAACCUUAAUGCCAUUAAUUUGGUGUUUUGGGGAAUUUGGACUGUUACUUUGAAAAAAUUAGAGUGUUUAAAGCAAGCUAACGCUUGAAUACAUUAGCAUGGAAUAAUGAAAUAGGACGUUCGAUCCUAUUUUGUUGGUUUCUAGGAUUGACGUAAUGAUUAAUAGGGAUAGUUGGGGGCAUUAGUAUUCAAUUGCCAGAGGUGAAAUUCUUGGAUUUAUUGAAGACUAACUACUGCGAAAGCAUUUGCCAAGGAUGUUUUCAUUAAUCAAGAACGAAAGUUAGGGGAUCGAAGACGAUCAGAUACCGUCGUAGUCUUAACCAUAAACUAUGCCGACUAGGGAUCGGAUGAUGUUAAUUUUUUAAUGACUCAUUCGGCGCCUUA
rnacentral:misc_RNA from 1 species